rnacentral:rRNA from 1 species
GGGCCCGCACAAGCGGUGGAGCAUGUGGUUUAAUUCGAUGCAACGCGAAGAACCUUACCAGGUCUUGACAUCUGCAGAACCCCUAUGAAAGUAGGGAGUGCCUUCGGGAGCUGCAAGACAGGUGGUGCAUGGUUGUCGUCAGCUCGUGUCGUGAGAUGUUGGGUUAAGUCCCGCAACGAGCGCAACCCUUGCUAUUAGUUGCUAACAGGUGAAGCUGAGCACUCUAAUGGGACUGCCGGUGACAAGCCGGAGGAAGGUGGGGAUGACGUCAAAUCAUCAUGCCCUUUAUGACCUGGGCUACACACGUGCUACAAUGGAUGGUACAGAGAGCAGCGAGGCAGCGAUGUGGAGCGAAUCUCAAAAAGCCAUUCUCAGUUCGGAUUGGAGUCUGCAACUCGACUCCAUGAAGUCGGAAUCGCUAGUAAUCGCGAAUCAGCAUGUCGCGGUGAAUGCGUUCCCGGGCCUU